rnacentral:lncRNA from 1 species
CCCUCCCACGGCUACUGGGUCACCAGUGGUUGACUCAAAGCAAAACACAGUGUUGAGGUGAAGUCUUCCCUAGUACAGUAAGAGUGAUGCUAGCCAGGGGUUCUCAGGACAAAUGACACAUUAAGUUCGUCUCAUGGCCACCUUUACUAAAAUGAUCCAGUAGCCGACUCUUUUGUAGCCCAAGAUUACCAAGAUCUUCCAUAUGCCAGAAGGGGCUAGAAAUAGUCCCCUGCCAAGUGGAUUCUUUGCUAGACCCUUGCAGAAAGAAUGAAUAGAGGAAAUAGUUUCAAGAAGGCAAAUUAUACCAGAAGAGAAGAGGACACAGGAGGCAACAGUGAACAAAGCUCACAGAUAAUCUGUAUUUCCCAGCUCUUUUACAAUGGGGCCUUAUGACUGAG